rnacentral:rRNA from 1 species
UUGACGGGACCGCACAAGCGGUGGAUGAUGUGGUUUAAUUCGAUGCAACGCGAAAACCUUACCCACCUUUGACAUGGCAGGAAUCCCGAAGAGAUUUGGGAGUGCUCGAAAGAGAACCUGCACACAGGUGCUGCAUGGCUGUCGUCAGCUCGUGUCGUGAGAUGUUGGGUUAAGUCCCGCAACGAGCGCAACCCUUGCCAUUAGUUGCUACGAAAGGGCACUCUAAUGGGACUGCCGGUGACAAACCGGAGGAAGGUGGGGAUGACGUCAAGUCCUCAUGGCCCUUAUAGGUGGGGCUACACACGUCAUACAAUGGCCGGUACAGAGGGUAGCCAACCCGCGAGGGGGAGCCAAUCCCACAAAGCCAUUCGUAGUCCGGAUCGCAGUCUGCAACUCGACUGCGUGAAGUCGGAAUCGCUAGUAAUCGUGGAUCAGAAUGUCACGGUGAAUACGUUCCCGGGUCUU